GACGAACGCUGGCGGCGUGCCUAAUACAUGCAAGUCGAGCGGACCAAACAGGAGCUUGCUCUUGUUUGGUUAGCGGCGGACGGGUGAGUAACACGUGGGUAACCUGCCCGUAAGACCGGGAUAACUCCGGGAAACCGGAGCUAAUACCGGAUAACACCGAGGACCGCAUGGUCUUUGGUUGAAAGGCGGCUUCGGCUGCCACUUACGGAUGGGCCCGCGGCGCAUUAGCUAGUUGGUGAGGUAACGGCUCACCAAGGCGACGAUGCGUAGCCGGCCUGAGAGGGGGACCGGCCAAACUGGGACUGAGACACGGCCCAGACUCCUACGGGAGGCAGCAGUAGGGAAUCUUACGCAAUGGACGAAAGUCUGACGGAGCGACGCCGCGUGAGCGAAGAAGGUCGUCGGAUCGUAAAGCUCUGUUGUUAGGGAAGAAGAAGCGCCGUUCGAACAGGGCGGCGCGGUGACGGUACCUAACGAGAAAGCCCCGGCUAACUACGUG
rnacentral:rRNA from 1 species